rnacentral:snRNA from 1 species
GUCCUCGCUUCAGCAACACGUGUACUAAAAUAUCGGAACAGUACAGAGAAGAUUAGCACGGCCCCUGCGCAAGGAUGACUCGCAAACUGUAAAGUGCUCCAUAGCUUA